GGCUGAGAAAGACACGCCGAACAAGUAAACAGUGGGAGUGUUGUUGGCGAGUGUGCGCACGAUGCCGCGAGGAUGAGCUGAACAAACAAAACCCAGCAGGGUUUAACCAUUCCCCGAGUUGGAUGCGCCUCCAUCACCAUCUAAGCUUUCCCGAGAGAAAAUCCUUGUCUACAUUCACCCUGCGAUGCCAUCUUCCUCAUUUGGAUGAAUAAACCUUGUCUCCACAUCGUA